GUCCUCCUGAAUCCAAGGCCAGUGCUUCAUCCACUGUGCCACCUAGCUGCCCCCAUCUUUAUUUCAAUAGAAUUGAUUUCCAUUGUUAUGCAUUUCAAGACAUUCUUCUGAGAAGGGAUCCAUGGGCAUCACCAGGCUGUCUAAAGGAGUCCAUGAUACAAAAAAGAUUAAGAACUUCUGAUUUAUGUCUUGGAGGAGGCUGAGAUUCUCUAGGCUUGAAAGCAGCUGGGAUUGGGGACCCUGGGCCAGAAGAUCCCCAAAAGCUCAUCAAGAGGCAGUGAAUAGACUGGGAAGUUAUCAAGGUCCUCGGAUGGGUCUUUCUCCAUAGUUUGGCCAAGAGGAGAGUCGUGCAUGCAGAGGGGAGGAGGGAUGUGCCCUUUCAGGGGAGCAUGGUCUCCACUCACCCAGUGAAGCCAGCACUGCCACAGCCACCAGCAGGAGAGCCAAGAACAGGUAGAGAAUUCUCACGGAUGUGUGCAGGGACAGGUUCUUCUGACAGCGGCUACAGCUGGGCCCUGCUGGACCUGUGUGGGAAGAAGGGUAGGACUUACUCAGUCUCCAGGUCUGACCCUGGGGAUAGAGAUCUCCCUCUGUGAACUUGGCCAUGACCUCCCUCAGUUGGUGAUCAUACUGGGGAUGAGAAGAGAACAGUUUUCUACUCCCUUUUCCAGGCUUCUCAUCUGUCUUCUGGUUCUAGAGGCCUUUGGAAUGAGUGAGAUUAAGGUUCAGGCUGCGCUCAGGAUGUUUGACGUUAUUGGUCUAGACCGACCUGAGGCUCCAACAGAGGGCUGCUGCCUGGCACAGGUUCCUCUUCUGCUACACAUAAGGCUUCUCCGUCGCCUCCCGUGGACCUCACUGAGAAGGAGUUGGUGCCUGUCAGGACCCCAUCCCACCCCAUCUCCAGCUGCUUCACUCACCAGCAAUUUCCACCACUUCCUCCAACCCUUGACCCUGGUGCCUAAAGCUGCUCAUUUUUCUCUGAACAGAAGAGUGGGCCAUUUAAGUGAGAACUAGGUGGCUAAGGACCUGAGUUAUAGGGGAUGGGACUUCUAUGCAAAUUUAACUUGCAGAGCCAUUUUCUAAGCAAGGAAAUGCUUUUGAAGAGAUACAAACAUCCAUCUUACCAUUAGUACUAAGCUAAGGUGUUCUAGACCUGGGUUCUAGUCUCACAGUCUGCCAUUUACUGCCUAUAUGACCUUAGGGGAUACAUGUCACCUCUCUUUUCUCAGUUUCUUCAUCUAUAAAAUGGAGUUAAUAAUACCCAGAGUGCCUCCUGAUGAGGCUAUAGAAUAUCAAAAUGGGAAGGGAAUUUAGAGGUUGUCAGAUCCAUCCUAGGGGCCUGUGAGUAUGGGGCAGGGUUCCUUAUUUUCAAAAGAGGAAAAUGAGCUAGAAAGAGUAAGUGAUUUCUCCAAGUGAUUUCUCCAAGUGGAGAUUGAAGGGAGAAAUGGGAGAGAGGAAGCUGGCUGUGACCAGUGUUCAAGGCCAGACUAGACCUUCAGUCUCCUGAUCCUCAACCCAGGUUUAUCCUGAAGGGCUUCUUCAAUUUACUUAAAUCCAUCAAACAUGUGGUGCCCAGGACUGAAUAUGAUUCUUCCUCUGGAUGUGUCCUGACUGGGUCAGCAUACAGAGGGACCACCAGCUCCCUGGACACUCUGCUUCCAAGGAUGAAGUUUAGCAUGGUGGUGGCCUUUUUUUUUUUUUUUUUUAGUGAGGCAAUUGGGGCUAAGUGACUUGCCCAGGGUCACACAGCUGGUAAGUGUCUGAGGCCGGAUUUGAACUCAGGUCCUCCUCACUCCAGGGCCGGUGCUCUAUCCACUGUGCCACCGAGCUUCCCCGGUGGUGGCCUUUUAACCUCUGUAGUCAUCAUAUGUAAGUUGGGAUAAUGUAUGUUUUGUGGUGAUGGGGGGAAAGGUGUAUGCUAUAUGAUCUCUCUAAGAUUCUUUUAAAUUUCAACAUUUGAUUUCUUUGUGGAAACAGAAGUCUUUCCCAAAAUCAUGAAGCAGAUCAACAUCAGAAGACAAGACUUUAGAACCCCAACCUAGCUCUCAUCUGUAAAAUGAAGGGCUUGGUAUUGAUGUCCUUAAUUAAAAUCACUUCCAACUCUGAAUCUAUGACCCUAAGAUCAGAUACUUUUAUCUCUGAACCUUGUGGUCU